AUACAUGCAAGUCGAACGCUUCUUUCCUCCCGAGUGCUUGCACUCAAUUGGAAAGAGGAGUGGCGGACGGGUGAGUAACACGUGGGUAACCUACCCAUCAGAGGGGGAUAACACUUGGAAACAGGUGCUAAUACCGCAUAACAGUUUAUGCCGCAUGGCAUAAGAGUGAAAGGCGCUUUCGGGUGUCGCUGAUGGAUGGACCCGCGGUGCAUUAGCUAGUUGGUGAGGUAACGGCUCACCAAGGCCACGAUGCAUAGCCGACCUGAGAGGGUGAUCGGCCACACUGGGACUGAGACACGGCCCAGACUCCUACGGGAGGCAGCAGUAGGGAAUCUUCGGCAAUGGACGAAAGUCUGACCGAGCAACGCCGCGUGAGUGAAGAAGGUUUUCGGAUCGUAAAACUCUGUUGUUAGAGAAGAACAAGGACGUUAGUAACUGAACGUCCCCUGACGGUAUCUAACCAGAAAGCCACGGCUAACUACGUGCCAGCAGCCGCGGUAAUACGUAGGUGGCAAGCGUUGUCCGGAUUUAUUGGGCGUAAAGCGAGCGCAGGCGGUUUCUUAAGUCUGA
rnacentral:rRNA from 1 species